GUGACUGAGGUCAGGCGUAUUAAACGUGGUGUAUUAAUUGAUUAAUGUGAUAACGCACCUGGAAUCCUUUCUGCGUCGCGACUUGCGCUUUCGUUUCGUGGUCGUCGUGUCGGCGUCGCACCCGACUUCCGGGAUCGUGGCGCUCGCGCUCCCACCUCCGUCGCUGCCGCCGCCAUUGCGCUGCUGCUGCUUCUUGGACUUCUUGUGAUGUCGCUGGUCCCUGGUGGUCGUCCGCUCCAUCGACGUCACGACGCUGGUCUCCUCCCGCGCUGCCUGGCCUUCAGACGUCCUCCUGACGCCGUCCGUUCCGGGAUCCUCUUCGCCCGAACACUUCUGCACUGCACAGACACCGAUGGCAACAGGACGGAUAAGGACCAAGAAUGGGCCAUACACGCUUCAAAGGAAGAAUGGCGGUCCAAGUGUCUGUAUCCACCCGGAAAAACUCGUAAGGCCUAUGCAGAAC